AGACGUCUACAUUAGAUACCCCCGUAGUCCAGGGUGUAAACGCUGCAGACUUGGUGUUGGAAGCCCUUUGGGGGCAUUCAGUGCCGGAGAGAAGUUGUUAAGUCUGCUACUUGGGGAGUACGUCCGCAAGGAUGAAACUUAAAGGAAUUGGCGGGGGAGCACCGCAACGGGAGGAGCGUGCGGUUUAAUUGGAUUCAACACCGUAAAACUCACCAGGGAAGACUGUUACAUGAAGGCCGAGAUGAAGACUCUGCUAGAUUUUCAG
rnacentral:rRNA from 1 species